rnacentral:rRNA from 1 species
AAAAUUAUCUUAAAGUUUUAAGUUAAAUAUUUUAAAUUAAUUAAAAUAAUAAUAAUAAUAAAUAUUUUUAGUAUAAUAAAGAAAAAAAAAUUUUUUUAUAGUAAAAUAGUAUAGUAAUAGAAAGAUGAAAUAUAUGAAAAUUUUAUUAAUAAAAAGUAAAUUUCAAUUAUUGUAUCUUGUGUAUCAGAGAAUAUUAACAAAAAAUUAUUUAAAUAAUUUUUUCGAAAUUUAAAGAGUUAAUUGGUUAUUUUAGUUAUUGUAAAAAAAAUAUUAAUUAUAAUUAAUUAGAAAUGAAAUGUUAAUCGUUUUAAAUGAUAUCUAAUUUUUUAAGAAAUAAAUUUAAUUUAGUUAUUUAAUUAAUAAAUUAUUUUAUAAAUAAAUAAUUUUUAGUUUAAAUAAUUAUAUUAAAGGGGAUAAGCUUUUUAUAUUGAAAUUAAUAAAUGUUUAUUAAAAAUUUUAUUUAAAUUUUAAAAAUAAAGAUAUAAUGAUAUUAUUAGUAUAUAAUUUAAUAUAUAAUAUAUUAAAUAUUGUUAAGUUAAUUUUAAGAAUUCGGCAAAAAUAUAUAUUCGCUUGUUUAACAAAAACAUGUCUUUUUGAGUUUUAAUUUAAAGUCUAAUCUGCCCACUGAAUUAAAUUUUAAAGGGCUGCGGUAAUUUAACCGUACAAAGGUAGCAUAAUAAAUAGUUUUUUAAUUGAGGACUGGAAUGAAUGAUUGGACGAGAUAUAAGCUGUUUUAAAUUAAUUAAAAUAAAAUUUAAUUUUUUAGUUAAAAAGCUAAAAUAAUUUUAAAAGACGAGAAGACCCUAUAAAUCUUUAUAAGAAUUGAUUUAAUUUAAUUUAUUUAUUAUUUAUAAUUUUAGUUUAAAACUUAUUUUAUUGGGGUGAUAUAAAAAUUUAAUAAACUUUUUAUUUAAAAUGAUUUAAAUUAAAAGAAAAAAAAUGAUCUAUUUUAAUAAUUAAAAGAAUAAGAUACUUUAGGGAUAACAGCGUAAUUUUAAUUUUAAGUUCUUAUUAAAAUUAAAGAUUGCGACCUCGAUGUUGGAUUAAAAUUUAUUUUAAAUGUAACCGUUUAAAUAUUUAGUCUGUUCGACUAUUAAAAUUUUACAUGAUCUGAGUUCAAACCGGUGUAAGCCAGGUUGGUUUCUAUCUUUAAAUAGUAAAAAAUUUUUUAGUACGAAAGGAUCAAAAAUUUUAAAUAAAUUUAAUAAAAUUGAAUUAGUUUAAUAAAAUUUUA